AUGGGCAGGCGCUUCCCAGCCGCCGCCCUAGCCGCCGCUGUCCGCCCCUACGCCCGCUUCUCCCCCGCCGCUAGCAAGGCAGCGAAGACCCCGACCGCUCCGCUGGAUACUCCCAGGACCGCCGGUCCCGGCGCCGCCGCCGGGGCCAGCUCUGGACGGGCCGAGGUGCGGGAUGUGGCGGCGGCAUGCGGGAUGCAGGAGGACGACCGGGUGCCGCUCGCGGAGGUGGUUUUGGACUGCACGAAGCGGUGGUUCCAGGACACGCUCAAGGAGGCGCGCGCCGGCGACGCCGCCAUGCAGGUCCUCGUCGGUCAGAUGUACCGCAGCGGCUACGGCGUCAACAAGAACGAGCACAAGUCUAGAAUUUGGAUGGAGAAAGCAUCAAGAUAUCGGUCUACAGUCUGGAAAGUUUGCAAUAAACGCCCAGGGUACAAUGCUAGUGACUCAGAUUCAGAUGAUGUUAAGGAAACAGGCAAAUAA
rnacentral:rRNA from 1 species